rnacentral:other from 1 species
UCCCUGGGGAGAUCGUGAUUCUGCCACGUCCCUGAGCCGAUGUUUUUCCCUCGGAGGCAACUCGUGUUGCUGGCGUGCAUAUCCGCUUGACGGAAAGCCCGACGCUCUACAGAUGCCACCACCUUGAACUUUUGGGUUCAAGGACCACGCCGAUAGCGACUACUUGGGGA